UGGGGAAUAUUGGACAAUGGAUGGAAAUCUGAUCCAGCCAUGCCGCGUGAAGGACGACGGUCCUAUGGAUUGUAAACUUCUUUUGUAUGGGAGCAAUAAGGUCUACGUGUAGAUCGAUGAGAGUACCAUACGAAUAAGCAUCGGCUAACUCCGUGCCAGCAGCCGCGGUAAUACGGAGGAUGCGAGCGUUAUCCGGAUUUAUUGGGUUUAAAGGGUGCGUAGGCGGUUGUAUAAGUCAGCGGUGAAAUUUUCCGGCUUAACCGGGAGACUGCCGUUGAUACUGUAUAGCUUGAAUACGGUUGCUGUGAGUGGAAUGUGUGGUGUAGCGGUGAAAUGCAUAGAUAUCACACAGAAUAUCGAUUGCGAAGGCAGCUCACAAAGCCGUUAUUGACGCUGAUGCACGAAAGUGUGGGGAUCAAACA
rnacentral:rRNA from 1 species